rnacentral:rRNA from 1 species
GAGUUUUGAUCCUGGCUCAGAUUGAACGCUGGCGGCAUGCUUUACACAUGCAAGUCGAACGGCAGCACAGGGAGCUUGCUCCCGGGUGGCGAGUGGCGCACGGGUGAGUAAUACAUCGGAACGUGUCCUGUUGUGGGGGAUAACUGCUCGAAAGGGUGGCUAAUACCGCAUGAGACCUGAGGGUGAAAGCGGGGGAUCGCAAGACCUCGCGCAAUUGGAGCGGCCGAUGCCCGAUUAGCUAGUUGGUGAGGUAAAGGCUCACCAGGCGACGAUCGGUAGCUGGUCUGAGAGGACGACCAGCCACACUGGGACUGAGACACGGCCCAGACUCCGUACGGGAGGCA